rnacentral:rRNA from 1 species
UACGAAGGGGGCUAGCGUUGCUCGGAAUUACUGGGCGUAAAGGGCGCGUAGGCGGACAGUUUAGUCAGAGGUGAAAGCCCAGGGCUCAACCUUGGAAUUGCCUUUGAUACUGGCUGUCUUGAGUUCGGGAGAGGUGAGUGGAAUGCCGAGUGUAGAGGUGAAAUUCGUAGAGAUCGGCAGGAACACCCAGGGGGAAACCAGCCGACUGGGCAAGCGCUGACGCUGAGGUGCGAGAGCGUGGGGAGCGAACCGG